AUAUCACAAUCGCUUCUAAUGCGGCACUGAGUGGUGCUUCGGUAUGCCCAAUUAGAGGUAAAUCACUGUAAUAUGUUACAACUCACAAUCAAAAUCUUUGCCAAAAAUAGUCAGAAAUGUGUCAAUACAAUAUGUUCACAUUUAGGCCUUGUUCUCACUGCAGCGGGGCGUCAGCGUGGCUUGGGCGGGGCGUGUGACGCUUACGAUUAAUCGUGUGUGUUCUUACCGAUGUGUACACACCAGGCUGACGUGUCUUGUGGUUUUGACGUGUGGCUGGCGUGCAAACGAUUCCCAGCUUCACGCUGGCGAUAUUUAUACUUCUCCGCUUCUCUCUAGCAUAUGUUUGUUUGUAGUAGUGACAUAAUUUAAUUUUUGUUUUGUUUUUUUUUUUAAUUUUUUACGUUUUCACCCUCCGAGUUUUUAGCCGGAUACGUCCAACGAUGUUGGAAUAUUGAAAAGUAAAUCAAUUUUCAUUCUUUCAUUCAAAAACACACAUUGACAAUUUUCAUAGAACACGCCGAAGACACGCCGCUGGCACGGUGCAAUGUGAGUGAAUUAAAAUAUCGUGGCGAGAAGUGAACACGCACCGCUCACGCCACGUUGACGCCCCGCUGCAGUGAGAACAUGGCCUUAAGAUGGCCGAAUACUGUUUAUCCGGAGCAAGAUGCUAAACUAUAGGUGUUUCGUUCUUGACACUUUCAUGACAAUACGUGAGACGAGUUGCGAGACGUAGCUUUCUGCAUUGUUUACUUUUUGUUUGGUUGUGUCGUUAUGGUUUCAUAUCAACUCGCUGAGGAAAACAACUGAAGAAAGAAAUAAGCAAAUAUAUAUUCGUGAAAAAUAGUGUACUAGAGCUGCAAUAAGAUGCCGUAUUAUUGUGCAGUAAAAGGAUGCGGAAACAAGGUCCGCAUAACGAAAAACAACCCGGACAUUGUUUACCACACUUUCCCCCGAGAUGGAGAUAGACUUCAUAAAUGGAUACUUUUCUGUGGCCAAUUACUUUCAACAACUCUUUCCGGAUCUUCUGGCGUGAUCGAUAGUCGUGAUUCCAACAGUUUAUUUCACCUGUAAUAUAUUAGCAACACAAAAGUCCACUAAUUUGAAAAAUAAACACGAACCUGUUGCAA